GGUGCUUCUCAGGUGAUGCAACCUGGAAUCAAGCUCCCUCCUCUCUGGUUCCGGGUGUGUCACCCAAGAACCACA
rfam:Myotis davidii contig141345, whole genome shotgun sequence.